UACGUAGGGUGCAAGCGUUGUCCGGAAUUAUUGGGCGUAAAGAGCUCGUAGGCGGUCUGUCGCGUCUGCUGUGAAAACUCAGGGCUUAACCCUGAGCUUGCAGUGGGUACGGGCAGACUAGAGUGCGGUAGGGGAGACUGGAAUUCCUGGUGUAGCGGUGAAAUGCGCAGAUAUCAGGAGGAACACCGGUGGCGAAGGCGGUUCUCUGGGCCUUACCUGACGCUGGAGGAGCGAAAGCCGUGGGGAGCGAACAGG
rnacentral:rRNA from 1 species